rnacentral:lncRNA from 1 species
AAACAAUACCAAACAUCCACUAUCUAUGGUUAUAUCACUUCCCUUCUGGAACCAAGAAAGCUUAUAAGGCCAGGGAUGCUUCUCUAUAGGUAGAGUUACUUUGUAAUAGCCUCUUGAGAUGUGACAUUCUCCUAGCUUUCCCUAUUCAUUACGACCUUGCAAACUUAGCCAUAAGACUAUUUCUGAUAACAAGCGACUUAUCAAUAUCUCCCUUCAAUCCCCUUCAUCUCCUACAUUGUCAACUUCAUCAUAGGUUGGGCCCAUAUCGUCCUCAUGUACAUCAGAUCCUUCAUUACUUUCAACUAAUAGCUAUUAUUUUGGAGGAAAAAUUGACCUUUCGUGCACUUAUUUCAUGUAUGAGCUAUCUUUCCAUAACUGUAACAACGGAGAUUUGAACCACUAUCUUGAGUCUUUUUGGCCACCUCGGCGUGGUAGGAUAUCAGGUCUUCCUCGACUAGGAUUUCUUUAAACAUCAGCUUCAUGCAUCUCUUUUGAUCUACUAUCUUGUCCUCUCGA